GACGAACGCUGGCGGCGUGCUUAACACAUGCAAGUCGAACGGAAAGGCCCUGCUUUUGUGGGGUGCUCGAGUGGCGAACGGGUGAGUAACACGUGAGUAACCUGCCCUUGACUUUGGGAUAACUUCAGGAAACUGGGGCUAAUACCGGAUAGGAGCUCCUGCUGCAUGGUGGGGGUUGGAAAGUUUCGGCGGUUGGGGAUGGACUCGCGGCUUAUCAGCUUGUUGGUGGGGUAGUGGCUUACCAAGGCUUUGACGGGUAGCCGGCCUGAGAGGGUGACCGGCCACAUUGGAACUGAGAUACGACCCAGACUCCUACGGGAGGCAGCAGUGGGGAAUAUUGCACUAUGGACGGAAGCCUGAUGCAGCAACGCCGCGUGCGGGAUGACGGCCUUCGGUUUGUAAACCGCUUUCGCCUGUGACGAAGCGUAAGUGACGGUAAUGGAUAAAAAAGCACCGGCUAACUACGUG
rnacentral:rRNA from 1 species